rnacentral:rRNA from 1 species
UACAGAGGGUGCGAGCGUUAAUCGGAAUUACUGGGCGUAAAGCGCGCGUAGGCGGCUUUGCAAGUCGAUUGUGAAAUCCCCAGGCUUAACCUGGGAACUGCAUUCGAGACUGCAUAGCUAGAGUAUGGGAGAGGGAAGUGGAAUUUCAGGUGUAGCGGUGAAAUGCGUAGAUAUCUGAAGGAACAUCAGUGGCGAAAGCGACUUCCUGGACCAAUACUGACGCUCAUGUGCGAAAAGCGUGGGGAGCAAACAGG